rfam:Thermus brockianus strain GE-1, complete genome.
CGCGGGGUGGAGCAGCCUGGUAGCUCGUCGGGCUCAUAACCCGAAGGUCGCGGGUUCAAAUCCCGCCCCCGCAA